UCGUUUUCAGACUUAUUUAUUAUCAUUUAUGAUUUAUGGGUACCCUACUGUUGUUUUUAAUAUUUGUUUUUAAUAUUUAGUAACGGCCUAACUUAAGUCCUAGGGGGUCGGGUCGUUACAGGCUUACCCACUCCUGUACUAAAGGGCCAAUCUCCAACUCAGACUUUAACAAGGUGCUGGAUAUAAGUAAACUAAGAACGUUUGGAUGUGCGUGCUUCCCUUGCAUUAGACCAUAUCAACAUCACAAGUUUCAAUAUCAUUAUGAAAAAUGUGUGUACUUAGGACCCGGUGUACUCCACAAAGGACAUCGAUGCUUAGCCAAAUCGAGUAAAGUAUACAUAUCUAGAAAUGUUGUCUUUGAAACUGAGUUUCCCUUUUCUACUGGUUUUCAGGUGACCAGUGGCCAUCCACAAGCCAUCCCUUCAUCACUGUCUUCUCAAAUGCCAGUCCCUCUUGUCCAAGUCCUUCCCCAGCCAUUACAAACAAGUCCAACUAUAUCGACAAUCACUCCUCAUCAAAGUAGUUCACCAAGCCCUACUAGUGCACAACAAACCAUAUCUCCAAUUCCAUCAACUCCAGCAUCUCCUAUCCACCAACCUGCAGCUCCUCAACUCCCUCCCCUAUGACCGUUCCCUCUCCCAUGUCAAUCUCAUCCUCUCAAAUCAUUGCAAACUCUCCACACAUAGACCAUUCACCUUCCCCUGCACCUAUUUAGCAGCCCACUGUUCCCACUGAGCAACAGCAGCACAUAGUCUCCCUCCAACCAACACAUCCGAUGAUUACCAGAGCAAUGGCUGGUAUUUUCAAUCCAAAAAUCCUGAUCACAGCUGCUAAAACCGAUUGAACUAUACAGAACCUACCAGAGUAAAAAAGGCUCUUCUCACACCUCAAUGGAAAGCAGCCAUGAACAAUGAAUAUCAAGCUCUAGUCCAAAGGAAUAUAUGGCAUCUAGUACCACCCUCGGAUUCAUACAAUGUUCUAGGCAACAAAUGGAUCUUCAGGUUAAAGAAACACCCUGAUGGCUCAAUAGACAGAUACAAAGCACGUUUGGUAGCGAAGGGGUUUUAUCAACAUCAAGGGAUUGGUUUUUUUGAGACAUUCAGCCCUGUAGUUAAGGCCUCCACCAUCAGAGUUGUUCUCAGUAUUGCUAUUUCUAAAGGCUGGGAGAUUCGUCAGUUGGAUUUCAAUAACGCUUUCCUAAAUGGAAACCUACAAGAAGAUGUGUAUAUGAAGCAACCUACUGGCUAUGUUAGCACCGAACACCCUGAGUAUGUGUGCAAGCUCGACAAAGCAAUCUAUGGCUUAAAACAAGCCCCUCGGGCCUAGAGAAACACGUUAGGUGCCUUAGUCAGCUGGGGAUUCAAUAUCUCAAAGGCUGACAACUCAUUGUUCAUAUUUCACACUCUCUAUUUGACAGCAGGUUUGCCUUGAAGGAUCUAGGCCACCUUACCUAUUUCUUAGGCAUUCAAGUCCACUAUUUAAGUCUGGCUUCAUUCUCAAUCAAGCAAAGUAUGUGGAAGACCUACUCCACAAACUUGGUCUCACGAAUCUUAAAUCGGCAGCCUCUCCCUGUACAGUAGGUAAACACCUCUCAUUAACUGAUGGACAACCUCUAUCUGAUCCCUACAUGUUUAGAAGCACCAUCGGAGCUCUUCAAUAUCUAACACAUAUGAGACCGGAUAUAGCAUACAUUGUUAAUCACUUGAGCCAAUUCUUGAAGGCACCUACUGAUAUUCAUUGGUAAGCAUCUAAGAGGGUACUUCGGUACAUCAGUGCCACUAGACAUCAUGGCCUUUUCUUUCAGCCUAGUACUGAUUUACAAAUCACAGCUUUCUCGGAUGCUGAUUGGGCUUCCAACAUCGAUGACAGGAAAUCUAUUGCAGCUUAUUGUGUGUAUGUCGGACACAAUCUAGUGUCUUGGUCCUCCAAGAAGCAAACGGUGGUUGCAAGAUCCAGCACAGAGUCUGAAUAUCGGGCCCUUGCUCAUGCCACAGCUGAGAUCAUCUGGCUAAUACAGGCCCUUAUAGCCAUUCCAACUAACACUACACUAGAUAUUAUGAAAGCAAAUAAAGGAUAGUUAGAAUGCAUCCCUGGAUGUGAGGCCUCUAAAAUACUUAAGUCUCGAUUUGUGCGAUCGAACAUUUUGCCAAAUUUUGAAAUUGUUGAUUCUUGCUGAGAGAUUGCAUUUUCUUACAUCCCAAUUCAACAUUUUUGCACUUCGAUCCAUGUCUUGCAACAACCUCUUUUGCAAGAUAUUGUUGGUUUGGGAAUUCUUCAUCUAGCACACAUUUUUUUUCCGUCAUCUAUCAACUGCACUGGAACAUCAACAUGAAGAUAUGGCUUUGCUGCAAGUAUCACAACAUGCGUUAGAGCAUCAUGUAUAGGAGAACCAUGCAUUGUGGUAAAUUGAAAAUUUUCAUGUCUUCAUGGACUCCUUCACUGGGCAACUUCUUCAUGGCGAGAUCAUGUGGUGGAGUACAUAGAGGUAUAUCCUCUAGUACGUCUCUCAAUAUCUUAGCACGACAUUGUUUCGUGAUCCGUCAUAGAUGCGCCAACAUUGUUUGACAAUUCCCCGUGGAAUUGAUUUUGCAUUUCAUUCUUGAUUUUGUCUUUUUGCACUUACAAAAAGCCUAAGAGAGGUUGCUUGGCUUUGGAGGACGUCAUUCUUUUUCAUGUAUGCUUUCAACAUUGACUCCAAAGUUUCUGACAGCCCUUCACUUUGUUGUUAAGCAUAAAGCUAAUAGUCUUCAUAUUGAGCAA